UGAAUGGUGUCUUGGCCUUAACUCCCAA
rnacentral:piRNA from 1 species